rnacentral:rRNA from 1 species
ACGAUUAGAUACCCUAUUAUUCUAAUUGUUAAAUAAAGCCUUAGAGUAGUAAUAGUUAUGAUCUUGAAACUUAAAGAAUUUGGCGGUGUUUUAGUCCAAUCAGAGGAAUUUGUCCCAUAAUCGAUAAUCCCCGAUAAUUUUACUUGAUUUUGUUUUCAGCUUGUAUACCGCCGUCAAAAGAAUAUAUUUAAAAAUUAUAUUCAAUUUUUUGAAUUAAAAUAAAUGUCAGGUCAAGGUGCAGUUUAUAAUUAAGUGGUGAUGAAUUACAAUAAUAAUUAAUUAAUACGAAUUUUAAUUUGUAAUAAUUGAAUGAAGGUGGAUUUGGGUGUAAUAUAAAUUAAAAAAUUUUAAUGAUAAAGGCUCUAAAACAUGUACACA